UAUUUGAAGAGUUUGAUCCUGGCUCAGGAUUAACGCUGGCGGUGUGUAUAAUACAUGCAAGUCGUACGACCCUUUAAGGGGAGUGGCGGACGGGUGAGUAACACGUUGGAAUCUGCCUCGAACUCAGGGAUAGCUCCGAGAAAUCGGAAUUAAUACCGGAUGGCGUCCGAUGUUAUGUCGGACUAAAGCUAAGGCGGUUCGAGAAGAGCCUGCGUACUAUCAGCUAGUUGGUGGGGUAACUGCCCACCAAGGCUAUGACGGUUAACUGGUCUGAGAGGAUGACCAGUCACAAUGGGACUGAGAUACGGCCCAUACUCCUACGGGAGGCAGCAGUAGGGAAUCUUUCGCAAUGGGCGCAAGCCUGACGGAGCAACACCGCGUGAUUGAUGAAGCUCUUUUGAGUGUAAAAAUCUUUUCUGGGGGAAGAAUUCUGACGGUACCCUAGGAAUAAGCACCGGCUAACUCCGUGCCAGCAGCCGCGGUAAUACGGGGGGUGCAAGCGUUAUCCGAAAUUAUUGGGCGUAAAGCGUCUGUAGGCUGUAAAUUAAGUCGGGUGUUAAAUCUCUUGGCCUAACCAAGAAAUUGUAUCCGAAACUGAUUCACUAGAGUUCUUGAUAGGUAUGCGGAAUUCUGCAUGUAGGGGUAAAAUCCGUAGAUAUGCAGAGGAACACCAAAAGCGAAGGCAGCAUACUGGCAAGAUACUAACGCUGAGAGACGAAAGCGUGGGGAGCGAACGGGAUUAGAUACCCCGGUAGUCCACGCUGUAAACUAUGGGUGCUAGGUGUUUAAAGGGACUCGGUUCCCUUUGAGUGCCAACGCUAACGCAUUAAGCACCCCGCCUGAGGAGUACGGCCGCAAGGCUAAAACUUAAAGGAAUAGACGGGGGCCCACACAAGCGGUGGAGCAUGUGGUUUAAUUCGACAAUAAGCGAGGAACCUUACCCAGGCUUGACAUCCCGAGAACUCUGCAGAAAUGCAGAGGUGCCGCAAGGAACUCGGUGACAGGUGCUGCAUGGUUGUCGUCAGCUCGUGCCUUGAGGUGUUCGGUUAAGUCCGUAAACGAGCGCAACCCCUAUUGUAUGUUGUAUUUUUCAUGCGAGACUGCCCGGUAUAACUGGGAGGAAGGUAGGGAUGACGUCAAAUCAGCAUGGCCCUUAUGCCUGGGGCGACACACGUGCUACAAUGGUCGGUACAAAGGAUAGCAAGACAGCAAUGUGGAGCCAAUUCUUGAAAACCGAUCUCAGUUCGGAUUGAGGGCUGCAACUCGCCCUCAUGAAGUUGGAAUCGCUAGUAACCGUAUAUCAGCCAUGAUACGGUGAAUAUGUUCCUGGGCCUUGUACUCACCGCCCGUCAAGUCAUGAAAGGUGGAGGCACCUGAAGUCCCCGAAANNNNNNNNNNNNNNNNNNNNNNNNNNNNNNNNNGACUAAGUCGUAACAAGGUAUCCGUAGGAGAACCUGCGGAUGGAACAUUCCCUUA
rfam:Candidatus Peregrinibacteria bacterium RIFOXYB2_FTLL_32_7 rifoxyb2_full_scaffold_3400, whole genome shotgun sequence.